UACAGAGGGUGCGAGCGUUGUCCGGAAUCACUGGGCGUAAAGGGCGCGUAGGCGGUUGGAUAAGCCCUCCGUGAAAUCUCCAGGCUUAACCUGGAAAGUGCAGAGGGGACUGUUCAGCUAGAGGACGGGAGAGGAGCGCGGAAUUCCCGGUGUAGCGGUGAAAUGCGUAGAGAUCGGGAGGAAGGCCGGUGGCGAAGGCGGCGCUCUGGAACAUUUCUGACGCUGAGGCUCGAAAGCGUGGGGAGCAAACAGG
rnacentral:rRNA from 1 species